rnacentral:rRNA from 1 species
AGAGUUUGAUCAUGGCUCAGGACGAACGCUGGCGGCGUGCCUAAUGCAUGCAAGUCGAGCGACGCGCACUACGGUGCGACGGAGCGGCGAACGGGUGAGUAACACGUGAGCAACCUGCCCUGAAGACCGGAAUAGCCCGGGGAAACCCGGUGUAAUGCCGGAUACACUCCCGAUACCGCAUGGUAUGGGAGAAAAUGCCUUUGUGCUUCAGGAUGGGCUCACGGCCUAUCAGCUAGUUGGUGAGGUAACGGCUCACCAAGGCGACGACGGGUAGCUGGUCUGAGAGGACGAUCAGCCACACUGGGACUGAGACACGGCCCAGACUCCUACGGGAGGCAGCAGCAGGGAAUAUUGCGCAAUGGGCGAAAGCCUGACGCAGCGACGCCGCGUGGGGGAUGAAUGCCUUCGGGUUGUAAACCCCUUUCAGGAGGGAAGAAAUUGACGGUACCUCCAAAAGAAGCCCCGGCCAACUACGUGCCAGCAGCCGCGGUAAGACGUAGGGGGCAAGCGUUGUCCGGAAUCAUUGGGCGUAAAGGGCUCGUAGGCGGCUCGUUAAGUUGAUCGUGAAAUCCCGGAGCUCAACUCCGGAACUGCGGUCG